CAAAUGUAGCUCCCUAGUACUUUAUCCAAACUCCCCCAUCGUUACACCGGAACUCCCUCGUCGAUACACUCAAAAUUGCCUCUCUGAUCUCUUUUCUUUUUCAUCUUUGCCGAGUUUAAGAUUAGUGACCGAGUCUCAUUAAAUACCUCUUCAUUAGACCACCAUAAUUAUCAAACCCUAGAGUUCCCAAAACCCCAAGGACAAUUCCGUUGGUCUUUCCGGCACUUCGCCGGCACUUAUUCAAGGACAGUUGCUUCUCCGGCACUUCUCCCGUAUUCCUUCCUCAAAUCCCCAAAUUCAUUUCUUGUUAAGAGGUAAUUCUUUUUGUAUACUUUUCUUGUUUUGAUUGUUCUUUUAUCUUGGUUUUUUGUAUAGAUAGGUAAAAGAUUUAUCAACAAUUCUUUUGUCUAACGCUUUUUUUGGAUUUUCAGGUGGUAACCUUAGAUCUGUUGCUUCAUCUGGUGCAGUUUGCAAGUGAAAUUCUUAUACUUUUUCCUCUGUGAGUCGACCUAUUUUUUUUUGGUUGCUAUCUCUUUGGGUUUUUCUUUCUUUGUUUCAAGCUUUUGAUUUUCUGAUGUUGGUUCUGGAUUUAUCUGUAAAUUCUUUUCUUAUUUGAGAUAUAUGUUUCACUGGAAAUUUUCCCCCCUUGGUUUUGUUGUAUAAAAGGUUCUGUUUCUUGUUGUUUGACUGUAUGCAUUGAAUGCUUCAAAAGGUCCUUUUUUCAGGAAAUUAAGUUGAAAAACAAAGUUUUUACCUUUACUAUAUAUAAAAAAAUUGGUUGUUUAUGGUUCUACAUUGAGCUGAUUUAGAGGGGGAUGCAUUAACCACCUUUCUUCUAUUCAACAAUACAACUUUUUCUAAUGUUUGAUAAUUUAUUACUAGUAAAGAUCUGAUUUUCAAUGGUUUUAGAGAGAUUACUUCUUUUUUUGAUUAAGGAUAUUGAAUUUUCUCUAUUACCAGUUAUAUUGGGACUUUCAGGAAUGUGAUGUAUAAACAAUUGGGUGCAGUUAUAUUCAUAUAUUUUUUUAAUGGUUUAAAAUUCUGUAUAUUGUAUGUGCGCAUGAAGAUGCAAAAUUUAAUAAAAACAGAACAAAUUGAACACCACUUAAAGUGGUAAAAUUUAAUAAAAGUUAACCAUAGAAAUUUGCAAGAGAAGAUAAGAAACUUUGAUUACAGUGAAUCAAUGAUAUAUGGGGACUAAACAUAUAUAAAGAAUCAAAUUACAUACAGGCUUCUUGCUUAUAUCUCUAAUCAAUUUUUACAACUACAAAGAAUUAUGAAGUCUAAUUUCUCCAGAGAAAAAAAGAGUUAGAUUAGACAUCAAUAGAGCACUACAAAGGCCAAAUAUGGGCUACUAUGACUGUUAUAUUAUCAUACUUUCCACCUCUCUACUCAAAUCCAGCUUUGGAACAUUCCCUAGCAAAUGGCGUGUAAAGCUCUGUGUUCUUAGAAUUCUCCAGUGCAUAUUGUGCUAUACUCUAAGCCAAUGUAUCAGGUGCAUCCGAUUCUCACGAGUCCACUCCAUUGUUCACAACAAGUUAUAACUCAAAAUCAUGAACAAUAACGAACAAUCCAUUUGUUCCCAUCACGAUUAUAUCUCCUGCUUUCACCGAAAAACUAAUCUUCUCUGCAACACUUGGAUAAUUAGAAUUUUUACUAUUCCCCAACUGAAAAGGACAUUUAAACCUCGACUGCUGAAUUUUAGAUUUGUACACAAUUACCACGUCUCUGAUCACUACAAACCCCCUAUCUCCCACGUUAACAGCAUGCAAAGUGUCAUUAGCGAGUGUCAACAUACAAGUAGUAGAACAACCCAUAGCCUUUGUUUUUCAUUAAUUCCCUUGAGUAUUUUCUUGAGUCAAAUUAAUAUGCUUUCGGUUUAUUUUAGUUAGUUUUGAUGAUUUACUUUUAUCGUAUAGGAUAUCUAUGGAUAAUGGUGAUAAAACUUGGAUGAAUCUCUUGAGAUGGACGGAUGAGUAUAUCUGUGGAGUGAAUGAUUUUCUUGAUAAGACAUUUGAACGAGCCGCCCAAGGAAAUAAAAUAUUAUGCCCUUGAAAAAAGUGCAUGAAUCGCUAUUGGUAUUAUAAAAAUAUGGUGGAGGAUCAUUUGGUUGUUCAUGGAUUUGUUGAUGGUUAUACCAAAUGAGUUUUUCAUGGGGAAGGAUUUUUCUUGAGAAAUACACCUCAUCCAAGCAAUGAUGAUGAAGGUUCUACCAUGCGGGACGAUAUUGAUGGACUACUUCAUGAUAUAUUUAGAAAUAUAGAGGGUCGGGCAGGGGAUGAAGAAGGAGUUGGAGAAAGAUUAUCUGAAAAUGCAAAGAAGUUUUUCGAAUUGCUGGAGGAAGUAAAACAAGAGUUAUAUCCAGGGUGUGAAAAUUUCAGUAAACUGAGUUUCACUAUUCGAUUGUACUUGCUUAAAUCCUUGCAUGGAUUGAGUAAUGUGGCUUUCUCUGAUUUAUUAGAGUUGAUAAAAUAGGCAUUUCCCUUUGCUCAAGUACCAGAAUCUUUCAACAAGGCUAGAAACAUGAUAAAAGAUUUGAGUCUUCAUUAUGAAAAAAUAGAUGCAUGCCCUAAUGAUUGCAUGUUAUUUUGGAAAGAAAAUGCGAGUGCCGAUAAUUGCUCGAUUUGUGGGUCUUCAGAUGGAAGUGUGUUGGUCCUUUGACUAAAGCAAGCUCUAAAAUCCCUGCAAAGAUUUUAAGGUACUUUCCUUUAAAGCCUAGGCUUCAGAGGAUAUUCAUGUGUCCUAAAACGGCUGCUGCAAUGAGAUGGCAUGCUAAUAAACUACCCAAUGAUGGUAAUAUAAGACAUCCUGUUGAUGGGGAAGCUUGGAAGGCUUUUGAUUCUUUGCACCCUGACUUCUCUAAAGAUGCUCAGAAUGUUAGAUUGGGUCUUUCAAGUGAUGGUUUCAACUCGUUUCGGACCAUGACCAUUUCUCAUAACACGUGGCCCAUUAUGUUAAUAAACUAUAAUUUAUCACCAUUGAUUUACAUGAAGCCAGAGUAUAUAAUAUUUUCUAUGAUUAUUCCAAGUUCAUCAUCUCCCGAAAAUGAUAUAGAUGUGUACCUACGACCAUUAAUUGAAGAAUUGAAGGAGCUAUGGGAAAUUGGGAUAGAUACAUUUGAUGUUGAAACCAACCAAGCUUUCCAAAUGCAUGAUGCCUUAUUGUGGACAAUUAGAGACUUUCCAGCAUUAGCAAUGCUUUCAGGAUGGAGCACUAAGGAGAGAUUAGCAUGCCCCACUUGAAAUUAUGACACAUGUUCUCAAUAUCUCAAACAUAGUCACAAGAUGUGUUACUUGGCUUAACGAAGAUUUUUGCCUCGUUAUCAUCCAUUCAGAAGAGAUAAGAAGCCUUUUUGAUGGUAAGGAGGAUCAUAGACUUGCACCUGCUCCUUUGUCAGGUGAAGAAGUAUUUGAAGAGCUACUUGAAUUCAACAAUAUCUUUGGGAAGAGCACUAAAAAAGGCCUCGGAGUGAUAAGGGUCCGUGGAAAAAGAGAUUCAUUUUUUUGAAUUGCCAUAUCGGGUGCAUAACAAAUUGAGGCACAAUCUUGAUGUGAUGCACAUCGAGAAAAACAUAUGUGAUAGUUUGCUUGGGAAUUUAUUAGAAAUAGAUGGAAAAUCAAAGGGUCAUGAAAAAUCUCGCUAUGACUUACAGGAAAUGGGGAUACGAAAAGAUAUAUAACCAAGAAUAAAUAAUGAUGGAACUAUAAGUUUGGGUAAAUCUUGUUUCUACAUGGAACCAAAAUAGAAAAGUUUAUUUUGUAUUGUCAUAAAAAAAUGCUAAAUUACCAAAAGUUUGUGCUUCGAAUAUUUCAAAACGCGUGCAAGUGAAGGAUAUGAAAAUAUCAGGGUACAGGAGUCAUGACGCCCAUUUUAUAAUGCAUUACUUGCUCCAGGUUGCUGUUAGAAAAGUGUUUACCAAGAAUGUUUUAUUGGCCUUGAGUAGGUUGGGAAAUUUCUUUAGAGCUAUAUGUAGUAAGGUCGUAAGGUGAAGAGAUCUUGAAACAAUGCAGUCUGAAAUUGUUGAAAUAAUAUGGGAGCUUGAAAAGAUUUUCCAUCCAACAUUUUUUGACAUAAUGUCGUAUUUGCCUAUUCAUUUAGUGAAUGAAAUUAAGCUUGGAGGUCCGGCUCAUCUUCGUUGGAUAUAUCCCAUUGAGAGGAACCUAUGUAAGUACAAGUCAUUUGUACGUAAUCGAUCUAGUCCAGAAGCGUCAAUAGCAGAGGGUUUUUUGGCCGAUGAGUGCUUGACUUUUUGUUCGAGAUAUAUACAUGAUGGCGUGAAGACAAAUUUUAGUAGGUACCAAACUGUGGAUGAUGAGUACUCUCAAAAUAUGUCACCUAUAUUCCCUAAUAUAGGUCAUCCAAUUGGAAGCAAAAAAUAAAAUACUUUUCUCAUGGAUUCGCAGUUAUGCUUUGAAGCACAUCGAUAUGCUCUGUUCAAUGCUGGAGAUAAACAAAUGGAAAUAUUUAUCGAGUAAGAUAAAUUAUAUUAAUAUUUAUUUAUUUUUUAUAUAGUUUUUUCUUUAUUAUAUGAUUAAACAUGAAAUGUUCUUGAUUGCAUGGAACAUAAGAAUUUAAUUGUUAAUCAUAUUAGAUCAAAUGCAUGGGUAAGAGCGAGGGAUCAUAGUCGGGAAUUCAACAAUUGUUCGAAAGAGAAAGUUAAAAAUAUUGUAUUGCCAGAUUAUUUAAGAUGGCUAGCCAAAGGACCUAAUAUGGUAGCCAAAAGAUAUACGGUAUAUUUUAUUAAUGGAUACCGAUUUCAUACUAAAGAACAGGAUUCCCGAGGCAAGACUCAAAAUAGUGGAGUGACUUUAUCGGCAACAACAGAUAUUUUUGCUAGUGCUAGGGACCAAAAUCCCAUCGAUGACGAGGUUAUCUAUUAUGGAGAGAUUUAGGAUAUCAUUGAAAUUGGUUAUUGGGGUUGUUUUAGCAUUGUAAUAUUUAGAUGUGAUUGGUUUCAUAAUGAAAUAGAUGAUUAUGGGUUAACUCAGGUGUACUUCAAUAGAUUAUGCAGUACAGAUGACCCUUUUGUGUUGUCAUCACAAGUUUAUCAAGUUUUUUAUGUGGAGGAUCCAAUUGAGAAAGAUGUUUAUUAUGCAAGCAGUAAAGUACCCAUUGAUUUGUAUGAUCUGGAGGAAGAGAAUUGUCCCAAUGUUGCAGACACAUUUUGGCAGGAACCUAAUAAUGACAUUGGUUCAUCAUCUAUAUUACUUGAUAUUGACAUUAGAUGGUCAAGAGAAGAUGUAUGCGUUGAUAUCAGUGAUAUUCCAUCUCAUGCACAAAAUUCACAUGAUACAAUUGUGGAAACAUCGGAAGAGGAGGACAUGUUUGAUGAUACUGAUUGGGACGGAUGGAAGCAGAUGAUUAAAUAACAAAAUUAUGAAAUUCUUUUAAGUUAUUUCUUUUUUGAAUGAGUGAUAAUGCCUUUUUGUUUAUAAAUAUUUUAUGAUUAUUUUUAUUUAUAUCCUUUAGAAAAUUAUUCUGACAUGAUUCAAUUUUGAAGAUUUGGGAUCUCCAACG
rnacentral:lncRNA from 1 species